rnacentral:rRNA from 1 species
CUAGGAAUAUUGGACAAUGGGGGCAACCCUGAUCCAGCCAUGCCGCGUGAGUGAAGAAGGCCUUCGGGUUGUAAAGCUCUUUCAAUAGUGAAGAUGAUGACGGUAACUAUAGAAGAAGCCCCGGCUAACUUCGUGCCAGCAGCCGCGGUAAUACGAAGGGGGCUAGCGUUGUUCGGAUUUACUGGGCGUAAAGCGCAUGUAGGCGGUUUAGUGAGUUAGAGGUGAAAGCCCGGGGCUCAACCCCGGAAUUGCCUUUAAUACCGCUAGGCUAGAGUAUGGUAGAGGAUAGUGGAAUUCCCAGUGUAGGAGUGAAAUCCGUAGAUACUGGGAGGAACACCAGUGGCGAAGGCGGCUAUCUGGACCAUUACUGACGCUGAGAUGCGAAAGCGUGGGGAGCAAACA